rnacentral:snRNA from 1 species
UAUAUUAAAUGGAUUUUUGGAAUUAGGAGUUGGAAUAGGAGCUUGCUCCGUCCACUCCACGCAUCGACCUGGUAUUGCAGUACUUCCAGGAACGGUGC